rnacentral:tRNA from 1 species
UAAAAUGCCUGAAAAAAGGAUUAUCUUGAUAGGAUAAAUAAUGAUUAAAGAAAUUUUAAUCUUUUA